rnacentral:rRNA from 1 species
GACGAACGCUGGCGGCGUGCUUAACACAUGCAAGUCGAACGGUGAAGCGCCUUCCUCUUUGGUUGGUGUGGGUGAGUGGCGAACGGGUGAGUAACACGAGCGUAACCUGCCCCCUUCUUCUGGAUAACCGAAUGAAAGUGUGGCUAAUACGGGAUACGCUGGGUCUGUCGCAUGAUGGGUCUGGGAGAGAUUUUGUUUCGGUGGGGGAUGGGCUCGCGGCCUAUCAGUUUGUUGGUGGGGUGAUGGCCUACCAAGGCGGUGACGGGUAGCCGGCCGGAGAGGGUGGGCCGCCAUACAACGGAGGCGAGGCGGAGACGCCUCCGACAGGAAGCAGUGGGGAAGAUUAGUGCACGGUGGGCGGCAGGCUGAUGCAGCGCCGCGUCGGGAGAGAAGGAGUCCGGCGGGUUGUGAACCUCUGUCGCGAGAGAAGCAGGGCUGCCUAGUUUGUGGGUGGGUUGACGGUAGCUAGAGAAGAAGCGCCGGCUAACUACGUG